rnacentral:rRNA from 1 species
UACGUAGGGAGCAAGCGUUUGUCCGGAAUCAUUGGGCGUAAAGCGCGCGUAGGUGGCUUCGUAAGUCCGUUGUGAAAGUCAAAGGCUCAACCUUUGAAAGCCGAUGGAUACUGCGGAGCUAGAGUACGGAAGAGGCGAGUGGAAUUCCUGGUGUAGCGGUGGAAUGCGCAGAUAUCAGGAGGAACACCAAUAGCGAAGGCAGCUCGCUGGGACGUUACUGACACUGAGGCGCGAAAGCGUGGGGAGCGAACAGGA